UGAGACGAGUAGCGAGACGUAGCUUUCUGGAUUAUUUACUUUUUGUUUGGUUGUGUGGUUAUGGUAUCAACUCGCUGAGGAAAACAACUGAAGGAAGAAAUCAACAAAUAUAUAUUCGUGAAAAAUAGUGUACUAUAGCUGCAAUAAGGGCUUAAAAGAAGGAGAAAAAAGACCCACUGAUAUUGCAGAAAUCGUUGAAAAAAGGGAUAAAGUUUAUGAUGAAGCCCUAGUAUACCUUCGGAAAAAACAAAGAACGGUCCUUGAAUAUCACAACAAGAAAAAGGAAACUGAUCCACUUCUUCAAACUGAUGAAGCAGUAUACGUCUCUCGCCAAGGAAUAAAAAGUGAAACAGCAAAAAACGGCACCUGGUUACCAAAGACAACAGCAAAACUUUGUGGAUGUCCAAGGAAGGAAAAUUUACAAAACAAAGAUCAGACGCCAACGAAAAUAGCUCCUUCUAAUUGUGUAGCCGUUUAGCAUAAAUUAAACACAAAAAUAUGCACAACAAUUAAUUUAAACUUAAAUCUAGAAUUAAAUAAGUAAAAAUUAUAACUGUUCUACAUACAACGGUACACAAAAUUGAGUAUCUCUUAUCACUACACUACCACAAAUAAUAGUCAUAACAUAGAUAACACAAAAGAAAAGGAAACACUUAGAAAGACAUGCAGGAACAGACUAAUAUAUACCAAUAAAAUUGCCGGCCGAGCUAGUAGCCAACCGAUCUUGGACGAAUAUAGAAGUGUUGAAACUUUGUACCACAGUCGUAAAAUAAAUUAAAAGCAAUAUUUUUUAUACGAGAAAAGAAGUUUUUUCGGUAAUUUACGGAAUCUGGAUUUUGUGAUUCCGUACGUGAAAUUAAAUGCAAAAGUUCUACGUAUCAGAUUUGGAGUUAGAAAGAAAACGGAGUGUUGUGAACGCGAUAAUUGGAACGUGUAAUUACUGGAUUGUGGAUUCCUGCUUUCUCCCAGCCAACGAACAAAGGAGAUGGUCUACAAAUUGCACAGAAA